AUAAGUAAAAAUUAUUUUAAAAAAAAUUAAGAAUAACAAUUAUUUAUAUAAGUUAGAUCCUAGCUUAGAAUGAACGCUUAAGACGUACUUAAACACAUGUUAAUUAAAUUUAAAAUAUUAACUAUGUCCAAUGUUAAUGUUGUUUAAAUUAGUAUAGAGGUGAGUAAUAAAUAGAACUAAAAUUAUAAAUUUAGAAUAACUAUAUAUGGACAUUUAAUGUUUGUGUAUAUUAAUUCUUUUUAAGUGCUUAUAAAUGUACUAUUAAAAUUUUUAUUUAUAAAUUAAUUCUAUUUUUGAUUAGCUAUUUAAUAUUUAAAAUAAAUAUUAAGGUGAAGAUCAAUAACUGGCCUGAGAGGGUUUACAGUCACAUCAGAGUUGAGAUAAAAUCUGAAUUUCUAUAGAGAGAGCAGCAGUGGGGAAUAUUCUACAAUUAGUGAAAACUAGAUAGAGUGACGUCGUGUGAAAAAGAUGAAAUAAAAUGUAAAUUUCUGUAAAUAGUUCUAAAAUAAGUGAUUGAAUUAUAAGAAAAUAUCGGCUAACUCUGUGCCAGCAGCCGCGGUAAUACAGAGGAUAUAAGCGUUAUUCACAAUUAUUGGGCAUAAAGCAUCCUUAGAUGGUUUAUUAUAUUAUUUUAUAAAUUUAAAAAUAACAUUUUUAAACAGUGAUAUUAAGAUUAAUAAACUCUGAGAAUAAAAUAAGUUUAAGGAAUUUUUUGAGUAGUGGUGAAAUAUGAUUUCUAUACAUUAAAGAAGGCCAAAAACGAAAGUAUUAAACUAGUUUACGUCUGACAUUGGAGGAUGAAAGCUAAAGUAGCAAAUGGGAUUAGAUACCCCAGUAGUUUUAGCUGUAAAUUAUGAAUAUUAAAAUUUAGAAAAAUAUUUUUUUUUAAAUUUAAAGUUAAUACGUUAAAUAUUCCGCCUGAAGAGUAUACUCGCAAGAGUCAAAUUCAAAGGAACUGACGGGAACUUAUACAAGUGAUGAGCUAUGUUAUUUAAUUUGAUGCAGCCCAAAAAAUCUUACCAAUAUUUAGCAUAAUUUAAGUAAUUUUUAUUAAAAUAUAAAUGUUAAUUAAAUUUUAAAAGGUGGUGCAUGGUUGUCGUCAGCUAGUGCUGUGAAGUAUAUACAUAUUUUAAAACUAGCGUAACCCUUAUAUAUAUCUAUAUAUAAUAUAAUAAGGAUGAUGUCAAAUCUUUAUGCCCCUUAUAUGUUGGGCUAUUAGCGUGGCGCAAUGAUGAAAACAAAUGUAGAAAAUGUUUAUGAAAUUUGUUAACAAAUUUAUACAUAUAUAUUUUUCGUUUAAAUUUUAUCUCAGUACGAUAUAUAAAUUGAAAUUUAUUUAUAUAAAGUAGUAACCACUAGUAAUCGUUAGUCAUAUAUAUAACGGUGAAUAUAUAAUUAAGUUUUGUACACACCGCCCGUCGCAUCCUGAAAAUAAAUUACAUUGAAAUUAUUUAAACAGUAAUAAAUAUUUAAUUUGUGAUUAGGAUGAAGUCGUAACAAGGUAGCCGUACUGGAAAGUGUGGCUAGAUAUUAUAAAUAAUUUUAUGGUUGUAGUGUUGUUUUUAUGUAAAACAUUAGUCUAAAAUUUUUAAAAUAUAAAUUAUAAAUUACCUUAACUCCAAUAGAAUUUAAGUGUUAAUUAUAAGAAUUUAAAUAAUAAUAUUAUUAAAACAAAUUAAUAAUAAUGUAUUUUAAAAUUAAAGAU
rnacentral:rRNA from 1 species